GACGAACGCUGGCGGCGUGCUUAACACAUGCAAGUCGAACGGAAAGGCCUGCUUUCCCUUGUGGAUUGCGGGUACUCGAGUGGCGAACGGGUGGGUAACACGUGAGUGAUCUGCCCCCAACUUGGGUAUAAGCCUGGGAAACUGGGUCUAAUUCCCGAUAGGACUGCAGGGUGGUGCCUGUGGUGGAACACGAUUUUCUAGUGGUUGGGGAUGAGCUCGCGGCCUAUCAGCUUGUUGGUGGGGUAAUGGCCUACCAAGGCGGCGACGGGUAGCCGGCCUGAGAGGGUGGACGGCCACAUUGGGACUGAGAUACGGCCCAGACUCCUACGGGAGGCAGCAGUGGGGAAUAUUGCACAAUGGGCGGAAGCCUGAUGCAGCGACGCCGCGUGGGGGAUGACGGCCUUCGGGUUGUAAACUCCUUUCGACCGCGAGGAAGCCACCUGGUUGGAAGGGUGGUGACGGUAGUGGUAGAAGAAGCACCGGCUAACUACGUG
rnacentral:rRNA from 1 species